rnacentral:rRNA from 1 species
AACGAACGUUGGCGGCGUGGAUUAGGCAUGCAAGUCGCGGGAAUCCCAGCAAUGGGGGAACCGGCGUAAGGGGCAGUAAUGCGUGGGUACCUACCCUGGGGUCUGGGAUAGCCGUCCGAGAGGGCGGGUAAUACCGGAUGACCUCGGGAGAGCAAAGCUCCGGCGCCCUGGGAGGGGCCCACGUGGUAUUAGCUAGUUGGUGAGGUGAUGGCUCACCAAGGCGGAGAUGCCUAGCGGGUGUGAGAGCACGACCCGCGCCACUCGCACUGAGACACUGGCGAGACACCUACGGGUGGCUGCAGUCGAGGAUCUUCGGCAAUGCGCGCAAGCGCGACCGAGCGACGCCGCGUGGGCGACGAAGGCCUUCGGGUUGUAAAGCCCUGUCGAGGGGGAGAAAAGCCGCAAGGUUUGAUCUAUCCCUGGAGGAAGCUCGGGCUAAGUUCGUGCCAGCAGCCGCAGUAACAC